rnacentral:misc_RNA from 1 species
CCGAGUGCGGGCCCUCGCGGCCCAACCUCCCACCCUUGUCUCUAUACACCUGUUGCUUUGGCGGGCCCACUGGGGCCACCUGGUCGCCGGGGGACGCAUGUCCCCGGGCCCGCGCCCGCCGAAGCGCUCUGUGAACCCUGAUGAAGAUGGGCUGUCUGAGUACCAUGAAAAUUGUCA